rnacentral:tRNA from 1 species
GCCCCUGUAGUUCAACGGAUAGAACGAAUUUCUCCUAAGAAUUUGAUCCAGGUUCGACUCCUGGUGGGGGCACCA